rnacentral:rRNA from 1 species
GCAAGUCGAACGCGAAAGAGACCUUCGGGUCUUGAGUAGAGUGGCGGACGGGUGAGUAACGCGUAGGAAUCUGCCUGGUAGCGGGGGACAACCUGGUGAAAACCAGGCUAAUACCGCAUACGCCCUACGGGGGAAAGCAGGGGAUCUUCGGACCUUGCACUAUCAGAUGGGCCUGCGUCGGAUUAGCUAGUUGGUGAGGUAAUGGCUCACCAAGGCGACGAUGGUUAGCGGGUCUGAGAGGAUGAUC